UACGUAGGUGGCAAGCGUUGUCCGGAUUUACUGGGCGUAAAGAGCGCGCAGGCGGUCGUUCAAGUCGCGUGUGAAAGCCCCCGGCUCAACUGGGGAGGGUCACGCGAUACUGAUCGACUCGAAGGCAGGAGAGGGAAGUGGAAUUCCCGGUGUAGUGGUGAAAUGCGUAGAUAUCGGGAGGAACACCAGUGGCGAAGGCGGCAUCCUGGACCGGCAUUGACGCUGAGGCGCGAAAGCUAGGGGAGCAAGCAGGG
rnacentral:rRNA from 1 species